rnacentral:rRNA from 1 species
UACGUAGGGUGCAAGCGUUGUCCGGAAUUAUUGGGCGUAAAGAGCUCGUAGGCGGUCUGUCGCGUCUGCUGUGAAAACUCAGGGCUUAACCCUGAGCUUGCAGUGGGUACGGGCAGACUAGAGUGCGGUAGGGGAGACUGGAAUUCCUGGUGUAGCGGUGAAAUGCGCAGAUAUCAGGAGGAACACCGGUGGCGAAGGCAGGUCUCUGGGCCAUUACUGACACUGAGAAGCGAAAGCAUGGGGAGCGAACAGG